rnacentral:rRNA from 1 species
CUCGGGUGAAGGAACUAGGCAAAAUGGUACCGUAACUUCGGGAGAAGGUACGCCGGUGGUUGUGAUGAGACUUGCUCUCUAAGCGAUCGUCGGUCGAAGAUACUAGGUGGCUGCGACUGUUUAUUAAAAACACAGCACUCUGCAAACUCGUAAGAGGACGUAUAGGGUGUGACGCCUGCCCGGUGCUGGAAGGUUAAUUGAUGCGGUUAGCGUAAGCGAAGCUGUUGAUCGAAGCCCCAGUAAACGGCGGCCGUAACGAUAACGGUCCUAAGGUAGCGAAAUUCCUUGUCGGGUAAGUUCCGACCUGCACGAAUGGCGUAACGACUUCCCCACUGUCUCAACCAGGGACUCGGUGAAAUUGAAUUAGCGGUGAAGAUGCCGCUUACCCGCGAAAAGACGGAAAGACCCCGUGAACCUUUACUACAGCUUGACAUUGGAUUUUGGGCUAGUAUGUGUAGGAUAGGUGGGAGACUUUGAAACCGGAACGCCAGUUUCGGUGGAGUCGACCUUGAAAUACCACCCUUACUAGUUUAGGAUUCUAACUUUGGCCCGUUAUCCGGGUUGAGGACAGUGUCUGGUGGGUAGUUUGACUGGGGCGGUCGCCUCCCAAAGAGUAACGGAGGCGCGCGAAGGUUCCCUCAGGCUGAUUGGAAACCAGCCGUAGAGUGUAAAGGCAUAAGGGAGCUUGACUGCGAGAGAGACAUCUCGAGCAGGUACGAAAGUAGGUCUUAGUGAUCCGGCGAUUCCGCAUGGAAGGGUCGUCGCUCAACGGAUAAAAGGUACUCCGGGGAUAACAGGCUUAUCUCCCCCAAGAGUUCACAUCGACGGGGAGGUUUGGCACCUCGAUGUCGGCUCAUCGCAUCCUGGGGCUGGAGCAGGUCCCAAGGGUUUGGCUGUUCGCCAAUUAAAGCGGUACGUGAGCUGGGUUUAAAACGUCGUGAGACAGUUUGGUCCUUAUCUGUUGCGGGCGUAGGAUAUUUGAAGAGAUCUGUCCCUAGUACGAGAGGACCGGGAUGGACGAACCGCUGGUGUUCCAGUUGUUCCGCCAGGGGCAUCGCUGGGUAGCUACGUUCGGAAGGGAUAAACGCUGAAAGCAUCUAAGCGGGAAGCCAACUCUAAGAUAAGAUAUCCCGUGAUGUAAAGUCACCUGAAGGCUAGUCGAAGACUACGAC